rnacentral:rRNA from 1 species
AGUGAACGCUGGCGGGAGGAAGAACACAUGCAAGUCGAACGGCAGCACAGUAAGAGCUUGCUCUUACGGGUGGCGAGUGGCGGACGGGUGAGGAAUACAUCGGAAUCUACUUUUUCGUGGGGGAUAACGUAGGGAAACUUACGCUAAUACCGCAUACGACCUACGGGUGAAAGCAGGGGAUCUUCGGACCUUGCGCGAUUGAAUGAGCCGAUGUCGGAUUAGCUAGUUGGCGGGGUAAAGGCCCACCAAGGCGACGAUCCGUAGCUGGUCUGAGAGGAUGAUCAGCCACACUGGAACUGAGACACGGUCCAGACUCCUACGGGAGGCAGCAGUGGGGAAUAUUGGACAAUGGGCGCAAGCCUGAUCCAGCCAUACCGCGUGGGUGAAGAAGGCCUUCGGGUUGUAAAGCCCUUUUGUUGGGAAAGAAAAGCAGCAGGUUAAUACCCCGCUGUUCUGACGGUACCCAAAGAAUAAGCACCGGCUAACUUCGUG